rnacentral:tRNA from 2 species
GCCGGGGUGGCCGAGCCAGGUCCAAGGCGCGGGCCUGGAGAGUCCGUCCCCGCAAGGGGGCCCGGGUUCAAAUCCCGGCCCCGGCACCA